rnacentral:rRNA from 1 species
UACAGAGACCCCGAGCGUUAUCCGGAAUUACUGGGCGUAAAGCGCAAGUAGUCGGUUGUGAUAGUCUGAUGUCAAAUCUCAUCGCUUAACGGUGAGGCCGCAUUAGAAACGUCACUUCUAGAGCAAGUCAGAGGCAUACGGAACGUGUGGUGUAGCGGUGAAAUGCAUUGAUAUCACACGGAACACCUAAAGCGAAAGCAGUGUGCUGGGGCUUUGCUGACGAUCAGUUGCGAAAGCGUGGGGAUCAAAAAGG